CUUGAAGGCAAAGCUUAGUGUACAGAUCUCAUGUUUGUCUGGCUUCUGUCACCGAAUAAUUGACGGUUUCAGGAGUUGACUAUGUGUAUUCUUGGAAUUUUACCAUGAGCGGUAUUUAACAUGGUCACCAGGUGUACACACAAGUACGUGCAUCUUGUCAUUCAAAUCAAAUAUGAUUCCUUAUCAAGGUUUGCACAUUUAUCUGCAUUUACGGUGCUAUAUUUUAAUAUUCAGUUCUCAUUCAUAAUGGACACUUUGUCUAUACACCUUCUAUCUAUGUAUGGAUUGAUAUGUACAGUAGUUAA